rnacentral:tRNA from 2 species
GGACCUAUAGUUUAACUGGAUAGAACAGUAGUCUUCUAAACUACCAACCUUGGUUCGAGUCCAAGUGGGUCUA